GUAUCACACAUUUUUUUAACGAUUUUGAGUAAAUAAUAGUUAAUAAUAGUAAUAGUAAAUAAUAAUGACUGGGGAUUCCCAGCUAUAGGUAGAACACAUUACAUUGGUAGACCGCAUAUUGGAAGAUAGCCUAUAAAAUAUUACCUGAAACCAUAGCCAUGUUAUUUGUUGAAUUUACAAUAGAAUUUAAAGUUCAUAAAAUUCUUCUUCUUCUUCUUCUUUGUCUGGCCAUUCUACUCCCUAAGAGUUUUAGCCGUCACUACAAUAUCCUGCCACUUUUAUUUGAUCUCUUGUCCGAGGCUUCGAUAUUUGUGAUAUCAUAAAAUUAGUUUUAAUUAGGUAGGGUUGUUAGUCUUACACUUAACCCCUAACCUGGAGGACCAGACCUCCCCAGUCAACUAAGGCCAGGGAGGUUGCUAUUGCAGCAACUAGUCCUGAGCGAUGGGAGCGCCACUUUCCUUACGCCAGACUUAAUUUAUCACACGAAAAAAUAAGAUUAGAAGAGAAAGAAACUUAUGUGAUGUAAAAAAAAAUAAACAUAUAUUUUUUGUUUUAUUUUCAGUGUUGUAACUAAACAUAGAGGUUACUUAAUGCAAACACUACUAGAUAAAGAAGUAUAUGAAUGGUUGUAUGCUAUAAAUCCUCUUUUGGCUGGUCAGAUUCGGUCAAAAACUUCACGGCAAAUAAUGCCCAACGGA